UGCCACUGACGUGGCAAGAUGUAAUGCUGGAAUGAGCAUACAGCCCUGUCAAUUUGAGAGCUCAAACUUAACGGAUCUUGACCUAACUCGGCCUGACCAUAUAGCGAAGACAUCGGAUAGAAGUUCUGACCGCGGGAAUGCAUCGGUUAGCGUUCCGCGAAGCUCCGGGGAGGGGAGGACAGCAGAAUCUGUUGAAUUCACAUCGGGUUGUGAUUCGGCUCGAGAAGUGACCCGAAUGGAUCAAGGCUUCUGGGCCACUCCAGGCGAUCGGACCUGCACCGUUGGAGUCGCCUGGAGGUCUUCUGUGGAUUGGCGAU
rnacentral:misc_RNA from 1 species